rnacentral:lncRNA from 1 species
GGCCCAGAUUAAGGGCCCUUCACUGAGUCAGACAGAUGAGAACAAGCCAACAUCCAGAAGGUAACUUAUGGUGGACGAUCAGAAGCACACUGCUUUUUUUCCCGUUUUCAAAGGGCAGCUGAGAUAAGAAUUAUUCCUGGGUUGUAAGAACUUCAGUAACUUGAGGAUUAAAAAUAAUUCCCAGGUAUACGGCUAAAAUUUCCAAUCAAGUCAUUAAUGUGGGUGGAAAGGAGUCUGCCUGGGAGAAGAGGACGGCAGAGGACGGCCAGAAAGGGGUAUCCGUGAAGAAGGCCGCGCUUCCAGAAGUUCCUCGGUGCUCCCUGCUUGUAUAUACGCCUUACCUGUCACUUUGUCCUCUGCAUUUGUCAUCGU